GCUUAAAACUCAGCCCUACUCAUUCAAUAACUCACACCGACCAAUAAAAAUAAACUAAAACAUUUUAUUAGCUCAGUAGAGGCGAUUAAAAAGUAUCUAGGCGCCCAAACAUUAGUACCGCAAGGGAAAAGUGAAAUAAAAAUGAAACAAAUUUAAAGCACCACAAAGUAAAGAUUUACUCUUGUACCUUUUGCAUCAUGGUCUAACCAGUAAAACCAAGCAAAAUGAUUUUUAAGUUUGACAUCCCGAAACUAGACGAGCUACUUCAAAACAGCUCCCCGAGCCAACCCGUCUCUGUUGCAAAAGAGUGGGAAGAUUUUUAAGUAGAGGUGAUAAACCUACCGAGUCCAGAGAUAGCUGGUUAUUCAGGAAAAGGAUCUUAGUCCAAUUUUAACUCUUUACAUAAUAUCAAGUAUGCCCGCAGACUUAAAAUUCACUCUAAUAAGGUACAGCCUAUUUGAGACAGGAUACAACCUCUCACAGAAGGUAAUGUUCAAAUAAAUGUGACUAAGUAGGCUCAAAAGCAGCCAUCUUUUAAAAAGCGUUAAAGCCUUAUCACAUAUAAUUAUAAAUAUCAACCCUCACCCAAAACCUCUUAUCCCUACUGAAUGAUUCUAUAUCUAUAUAAAAGCCCCUAUGUCAGAACUAGUAACAAGAAUGCCCAUUCUCCUAUAAACAUAAGUGUAAGCCGAAAUGGACCACCCAUCGACAUUCACCGCCAAUGAACCAACAGUAAUAACCUCCUCAAGAAAAUUUUACUUUUCCUAAGCGUUAACCUUACACAAGAAUUUUUCUGGAAAGAUUCAAAAAAGAGGAAGGAACUCGGCAAACAUUAACCUCGCCUGUUUACCAAAAACAUCGCCUUCUGAAACUCAAUCGAAGGUCCAGCCUGCCCAGUGAUAAACUUAAACGGCCGCGGUAUCUUAACCGUGCAAAGGUAGCACAAUCACUUGUUCUUUAAAUAAGGACUAGUAUGAACGGCAUCACGAAGGUUACACUGUCUCCCUCCUUUAAUCAGUGAAACUAAUCUCCCCGUGAAGAAGCGGGGAUCAACCUAUAAGACGAGAAGACCCCAUGGAGCUUUAGACUAAGUAUCACUUGCAUUGCCAACACCACUUAAGCCUACGCAAAUCUGUUUACUAGUUUUUGGUUGGGGCGACCACGGAGCAAAACAAAACCUCCACGACGAAAGGAAACACUUUCCUAAUCAAAGAGUUACCACUCACAGAAUCAAAAUAUUGACCUAAAUUGACCCAAUACACUUGAUCAACGAACCAAGUUACCCUGGGGAUAACAGCGCAAUCCAUUUCAAGAGCCCGUAUCAACAAAUGGGUUUACGACCUCGAUGUUGGAUCAGGGUAUCCUAGUGGUGCAGCCAUUACUAAAGGUUC
rnacentral:rRNA from 1 species